rnacentral:rRNA from 1 species
GAGUGAGCGGGCGUGAAUUCGGCCUCGCACGGCCUCUGCGCCGGCGAUGGUUCAUUCAAAUUUCUUCCCUAUCAACUUUCGAUGUUUGGGUAUUGGCCAAACAUGGUUGCAACGGGUAACGGAGGGUUAGGGCUCGACCCCGGAGAAGGAGCCUGAGAAACGGCUACUACAUCCAAGGAAGGCAGCAGGCGCGCAAAUUACCCAAUCCCGACACGGGGAGGUAGUGACAAUAAAUACUGAUACAGGGCUCUUUUGGGUCUUGUAAUUGGAAUGAGUACAAUUUAAAUCCCUUAACGAGGAACAAUUGGAGGGCAAGUCUGGUGCCAGCAGCCGCGGUAAUUCCAGCUCCAAUAGCGUAUAUUAAAGUUGUUGUGGUUAAAAAGCUCGUAGUUGAACCUUGGGCCUGGCUGGCCGGUCCGCCUCACCGCGUGUACUGGUCCGGCCGGGCCUUUCCCUCUGUGGAACCCCAUGCCCUUCACUGGGUGUGGCGGGGAACCAGGACUUUUAC